UCCACAGAGGAGAGGCUGCCUAGUGAAGGU
rnacentral:piRNA from 1 species